CCUGAAUUGAUGGACAACACAAAUAAAUAUAUUAUACCCUAAAAGAGAACAUAAAAAACAACAACCCCAUAGCAGCCACAAUAAGAUCUGGCAGGACACUGAUCCUAAGAGUGCGUAAUGGCACUUAUUAAACAUCAGGAAUGAUUUCAGGGGCCUGAACGGACCUCCAAGAAAAUGUUUCUGCUUUUGCAGUCCCCAAUGAUUUUGCAGGCAGUGAGAAAAAAGGGGGAGGGAUAGGCAUAGGGAUAGGUGGAAUCCAGCACCCUGAUUGGGUGCAAAUCACCACUUCCCUAGUCAUCAGAUCAAUCAUGUGAUGAGAGGGGAUGUGUGUGUGUGUGUGUGUGUGUGUGUGUGCGCGCGCACACACACACACUUGCUAUUGUGCAUGAGAGAGACUGCAGGAGAGAGUUUGGAGUGGCCACACCCACUUCUUUAGGCCACACCCUCCACUGACAUUCCACACCCAGAGAAUUGGCCAUGGGUGAAUGUAGUUCUCUGGCCAAGGAAGUUAGCCCCUCCUUCUUAUGCACUGUGCAUGUUUAGAAAAGAUGACUGCUUGGACCAAGCGUCCUUGUAGGAUGAGCUGAAGUCUAGAACUUACCACUACUCUACUCUAUGGAGGUGAAAUCCACAGUCACGUCAGCUUUAAGCAGGAAAGCUUAAACUUGCAGUGCUGCUGGUCAUAUGGCUGCCUCACAUAGCACAAAGGGUUUCCAUGACAGCAGCAGCUAAGCUUAGCAACUGGCAAAACCAGUCAAGGACCAGAUGGAAGGAUUACACCAUGAUUGGGGCUAUAUAUGGUACUAUUGACGUGUGGAAAGUCAUCCUGCAGGGUUGGCUACUGGAUUCCUCUGCGAGAGUAACACUAAUAUUGAUAGGCUAGCCCUUAUUCUAUUGCGAAAGGCUGGGCUGGAUGAAUCCCAAGCCGGAAUUAAGAUUGCCGGAAGAAAUAUCAACAACCUCAGAUAUGUGGAUGACACAACCUUGAUGGCAGAAAGUGAGGAGGAAUUAAAGAACCUUUUAACGAGGGUGAAAGAGGAGAGCGCAAAAUAUGGUCUGAAGCUCAACAUCAAAAAAACAAAGAUCAUGGCCACUAGGCACAUCACCUCCUGGCAAAUAGAAGGGGAAGAAAUGGAGGCAGUGAGAGAUUUUACUUUCUUGGUCUCCAUGAUCUCUGCAGAUGGUGACAGCAGUCACGAAAUUAAAAGACGCCUGCUCCUUGGGAGAAAGGCGAUGGCAAACCUAGACAGCAUCUUAAAAAGCAGAGACAUCACCUUGCCAACAAAGGUCCGUAUAGUUAAAGCCAUGGUUUUCCCAGUAGUGAUGUAUGGAAGUGAGAGCUGGACCAUAAAGAAGGCUGAUCGCAGAAGAAUUGAUGCUUUUGAAUUAUGGUACUGGAGGAGACUCUUGAGAGUCCCAUGGACUGCAAGAAGAUCAAACGCAUCCAUUCUAAAGUAAAUCAGCCCUGAGUGCUCACUGGAAGGACAGAUCCUGAAGCUGAGGCUCCAAUACUUUGGCCACCUCAUGAGAAGAGAAGACUCCCUGGAAAAGACCCUGAUGUGGGGAAAGAUGGAGGGCACAAGGAGAAGGGGACGACAGAGGACGAGAUGGUUGGACAGUGUUCUCGAAGCUACAAACAUGAGUCUGACCAAACUGCGGGAGACAGUGGAAGACAGAAGUGCCUGGCGUGCUCUGGUCCAUGGGGUCACGAAGAGUUGGACACGACUGAAUGACUAAACAACAACAGCCUUUAUUCUGGGUGAUAUUGCAGCAGAGCUCCUAAAACAAAAGUAUAUUACACUCUACUUCUCAGAUCAGUGAGAAGACAACAUAGCACAGCAAUUACCCAAUUUGGUUUGGUUUCCUUUGGAAGGAGCUCCUUGGAGACUUAAUAGCAUGUUGUAGCAUGUGUGUUUGUUUAAUAAUAAUAAUGUAUUGUACCCCACCCAUCUGACUAGGUUGCCGCAGCUACUCUAGGUGGCUUUCAACGAUGUAUAAAAGAACACGCCAAAACUUCAAAAACCAAACCUUCCCGAUACAGGGCUGCCUUCAGAUGUCUUCUAAAAGUCAGAUAGUUGUUUAUUUCCUUGACAUCUGAUGGGAGGGUGUUCCUCAGGGCGGGUGCCACUACCGAGAAGGCCCUCUGCCUCAUUCCCUGCUACUUCACUUCUCACAAUGAGGGAACCACCAAAAGGCCCUCUGAGCUGGACCUCAGUGUCUGGGCUGAAGAUGGGAGUUGAGACACUUCUUCAGGUAUACAGGGCCAAAGCUGUGUAAACUUCCAAGUUAGGAACCUGGGACCUUCUGCACUGAACUCUGAUGCUCUACCACUGAACUACAGUCCUUCCACAAAACUGUGGUAUAUUAUUAUUUUCACACCACGAAACAUUGCCUCUUCCCCGGUGGCUAAAAAAAGGAAAUCUGGAUGAGUGAUCCAGCCAUUACCUAACCUUCUUGGGACACCUUUGUUACCAACAAGACUCAUCACCUGAGCGUCAACAGUCUUUCGUCACAUCUAGGAGGCUAGCUAGAUACUGCCUCAGGGCAACCCACACUCGCAGAGAAACCCAUUCGGAAAAGUCCAAUAGAAAACCGAUAACAGUUACUUUACUGCUGGAGUAAAAGUACUGCUCUUCUGAGCUGUCUGCACAGCCAACUCAAUUUACUCCCAGCUGUGUUGGCAGAGCGGAUGGCACAGUAAUGAAGUAUUUUACUGCUGGAGGAAACCGCUGCUGUUUGAGAGCCAUUGGGCAGUGCAGACAAUACAGAAAUGAAGUACUUCAUAGCUAAAUGGCUCUAUGACCAUGUCAGCAAAAGCACAUCCUCAGAUACCAAAGAUUCAGGUUGCAACAAGCAUCCUCAGGUGGUUACUGAAUCUCUUCCAAAUAUGCAAAGAUAAUUUGAGAAUUGCAUAUCCAUCUAUCUAUCUAUCUAUCUAUCUAUCUAUCAUCUAAUCCAUGAGUAGGCAAACUAAGGCCCGGGGACUGGAUCCAGCCCAAUCGCCUUCUAAAUCCAGCUCGUGGACAGUCAGGUAAUCAGUGUGUUUUUACAUAAGUAGAAUGUGUCCUUUUAUUUAAAAUGCAUCUCAGGGUUAUUUGUGGGGCAUAGGAAUUCGUUCAUCCCCCCCCAAAAAAAAUAUGGUCUGGCCCCCCACAAGGUGUGAGGGACAGUGGAUUACCCCCAUGCUGAAAAAGUUUGCUAACCCCUGAUCUAAUCUAUCUAUCUAUCUAUCUAUCUAUCUAUCUAUCUAUCUAUCUAUCAUCUCCUGCCCUUCCUCCCUGAGGAACCCAGGGCAUCAAACAGAUAAACAAUUUAAAAACAAAAAUCCCCAAAAACAUCCCAAAACAGAUUAAAACAGCCUAAGAACAACCACAAUUCAAAACAUUUUAAAGCAGUUACAGUUUGAAAUAUUCUAAAAGCAAUUGCAAUUUAAAAGCACACCUCCAUCCUGCAAUCUUAAGGUUACCAGGAACCAUAUUCUUCCACCAAAUACCAGGACAAGCAGGAAUGUUUUCAGAUUCCUCCUGAAAGUUAAUACUGGUGGAGACAGGAGCACUGGGAGGGACAUUCAACAAACAGGGAACCACCACUAAAAAGGCCCUGUCAUGGGUCACUGCCAACAACACAGCUCCUGGAAGCAGCACUGUAUGAACAACAUUAGUUCAGAAUUAAUGAGGACUAGUGCUAGGCUGGAGAGAGCCCUCAUCUGCCAGGACCUUUCUAGCAGGGCCUUAUUGGCAUGGUUACUGGCUUAGGUGGCACACCUCCUCAGCUCCAACUGGUGCUGGGUGGCCAGCUAGGAAGUCCCACAAUGCUCUGGGAUGCCCAGUGCAGUCCUGGCUGAAAGAGACAUUUCCUGGCAACCUUGAAAAUACUAGCAGUCAGUAGGGAUGGGGGAUUCUGCCAGUUUUGGUUUCUCAUUUUUCCAGUCUUAAAUUCAGUUCUCUACAAAAAAAAAUAAAAAUUAAUAAAACAAACCCCAAGUCCUCAUAAAUAUUGUCAGCACUGCAGUGUGGAUUCUCUUGAUGUACACAUCUUUGUAUGCAAUUUCUCUAUAUAUCUUCCUGUUUCGCAAAGCAAUUUCCCCUUAUAAGCUAUUUGCACUAAUAUAUGCACUGUUAUGCACACAUUAUCCCAGUGUGUGCAUUUCUGCACACAUUACUGGGCUGGCGAACUGCAUUGCAAAAUUCGGAGAACUGCAAAUUUUGAAGGUUCGUUCCGUUUCGGUUUGCAUAUUGUUUCAGAAGUUGCAGAUUCUCACCAGAAAUGCAAAUUGUAUAAAAUUUCUCGCCAAACCUUGCUGUGAUGGUUUUUGACUGCACUUAAUUAUUUCUCCAUAAAUAUUUUUAACUUUUAAAAUAUAUGUUUAUUUUAUUUUCAGUGUACUCUUUAGCCACUUGGAAGGUUGCUAUCCUGAGCUGCUUUGGGAGGAAAGGCAAGGAUAGAGCUGCAAUAAAUAAAUAAAUUCCAAAUCAGCACUUAGCAUUGAGCCCAGAAAUGGAUUGGAAGCCAGCGAGGAUGGCAAAUUAAUUGGCAUGAUUGGCGUCCUAUCUCCUACUCUCACUUAGCAAAUUUGCAGCCAUGUUCCGGACCAUCCAAAAUUGCAUUAUGUGUUCAAGGGCAGCCCCAACCGCAACACACUGCAUUAGUCCAAGCAUUUCAUUCAAUGGUAGUCACCAAGCCUGAUAUCCUAAUGCACAUGUUUUCACAUCUAGAUGUUCAUGAAUCCAUAAUUACAUAGUCACAACAUGUCUCACUCCCCAAACACAAAGGUUUGCAUAGCAUUAAGCUAAUGAGAAAAGUAUAGAAGCUGGCACAAAACUUUGGAACCCCCUACAGGUAGCGAUGCAGGUGUCGCUAUGGGUUAAGCCACUGAGCCUUGCGCUUACCGAUCAGUAGGUCGGCGGUUCGAAUCCCCACAAUAGGGUGAGCUCCUGUUGUUCGGUCCCAGUUCCUGCCCACCUAGCAGUUCGAAAGCACGUCAAAGUGCAAGUAGAUAAAUAGGUACCACUCUGGCCGGAAGGUAAACGGUGUUUCUGUGUGCUGCUCUGGUUUCGCCAGAAGCGGCUUAGUCAUGCUGGCCACAUGACUUGGAAAAACUUUCUGUGGACAAAACAUCGGCCGGCCAGUAAAGCGAGAUGAGCGCUGCAACCCCAGAGUCGUUUGCGACUAGACUUAACGGUCAUGGAUCCUUUACCUUUACCUUUUUACAGGUUCAAUAUUGUGAGAAAACAUUAACUAUUUAGACUUAACUGGGAGCAAGGCCCACUGAACUCAGUGAGGUUAACUUUUAUGUACAGUGCUACCUCAGGUUACAUACGCUUCAGGUUACAGACGCUUCAGGUUACAGACUCCGCUAACCCAGAAACAGUACCUCGGGUUAAUAACUUUGCUUCAGGAUGAGAACAGAAAUCGUGCAGUGGCGGCAUGGCGGCAGUGGGAGGCCCCAUUAGCUAAAGUGGUGCUUCAGGUUAAGAACAGUUUCAGGUUAAGAACAGACCUCCAGAACGAAUUAAGUACUUAACCCGAGGUACCACUGUACAGGAUUGCAAGGUUAAAGCGUAUGUUCCAAACAUUUAACUUUCCAAGGUGUUUCAAGCACAGAGACUCUGGCAGGCGUACCACAGCUGCUUGCAAAUCUUGCUACAAACAAAAACUUCCCCGAGAUUUUAUGCAAAUGUAUUUAAAUUUAAUCAAUGAAUGAAUCAGAUAAGAGGGAGAUGAUUAAUCAGCUAAACAUCCUUUAAUCAGUUGGUAGGUCUAAUUCCGGAAUGGCUACCACUUUCAGCUGAACUGCGGUUUAACAGCAUUACAGCCCAAACAGCUCACUUAAGUGAAGGGCAAAAGGUGUCUCGGCCUUCAUUCAUUUCCUGUAACGGUAAGUAGGUGAAGGUGGGGGAAAUAAAACUCUGUAGUUUUCAGAGGCAGGAGUUCAAAGGGUACGUUUGGACUUUAUUCUAUAAAUGUCAAGGUGACAAAUGGCUGUGCCACACAACAAAUGAAUUUAUCACACACACACCUUAGACCCACCUCAGGAUGGAUUUUUAAUCCAUUUCGCUGGAAGCUAUCCCAAGAGAUUUAGGAGGUUUAACUUAGGUCCAGAACCUUAGCAUGCAUAUUCCAUGAAAUUCUCAAUAAUAGGAGUUGAGGUAAAACAAGAUGUAAAUACAUUGUUUAUUAGUGUAUUGCUUAUGGGAUAAAGGUGGACAUGUGUACUGCUUUACAGCAGAUAGUUGAUUACUUAUGUACUUAUGUACUUACGUACUUACUUACUUAUUCUUAUUUAUUAAAUUUAUAUACUGGCCUCCAUCUGAGGAACACAGGGCAGUAUAAAAACUAAAAUAUGUACAAGGUAAUUACAAACAAAACAAAACCCCAUCCCUGAUUAAAAGGCCAUAGACUGAUUAAUUAGCCAAAGGCCUGGGAGAAGAGGAAUGUUUUUGCCUGGUUCCUAAAUAUAUGUAGCGAAGGCGCCAGGCGAGCUUCCCUGAGGAGAUCAUUCCACAAACAGGGGGCCACCACAGAAAAGUCCCUGUUCUCAUAUCACCAUCUUCCAAACCUCAGAUGUUGAUCACAGGGUCUGAUGAUUAAUAUGCCACCCUUUUUCUCAAAGGGGCUCAGGGAGGUGAACAACAAGGGAUAAAAUAACAGAGCUUCUUUAAAAAAUCAUAAAAACCAUAUGGAUACAGAGGCGGACUGGGUAAUAUCACAACUUUAAAGGCCUGUUGAAAGUGGAAGGUCGGUCUUCAGUAGUUGUCAAAGGAAUAAUAGCAUAAUAAUAAUAGCAUACCCUCCAACAUUCCUCAGAUGAAAAUAGGGACAUUUCUCACUCCCCCCAUGACCCUCCUCGACCCCCCCAUUUUUGUUUCCCCGCCCGCAUAGCAUUUCUACCACCACUACAGCAAUGAGACACAGCACACACACACACACGCACACACGCACACACACCGUCCUGAGAAAACCCCUUAAUCCCAGUUUUACUUUAUUCUUUGGUAGAUUUACAAAAAGAAAAACACACACCAAUAAAUAAAUGUUAGGAAGGGGCAAGAUUAGAGGUAGAUGCACAAACCUUUUAAAAAAGAAGAUCAGUGGAAAACGAGUGAGGUCCCAAUUAAAGAAGAAUGGCAACUUAAGCUGAUGGAAUAUGCACAACUCACACUUAACAUAUAGAAUAAGAGAACAAGAAGAACAUACGUUUAGAGAAGAUCGGAAAAUGUUUAUUGAAUAUAUGGGGGGGGGAAUUGUGUGCACUUGAAAACAUUGGCAGCAAUAAGAUAAAUUCAACAGUGUAAAUAAGUUUUGAUGGGAAUAAUAAUGGAAUACUGAAUGGUUUACUUUAUGUAAAAUAUGCAGGGAUUUAUGAUAUGCAAAGUGAACCAUUGAAAGAGAAGAAGGGAAGUCCUUAAUAUUUUAAGGAUGUUUAAAUGAGUAUUCUAAGUGUAAAACAGAAAAUUUAACAAAGAUUACCGUAUUUUUCCGUCUAUAAGACACCCCCAUGUAUAAGACACCCUCUAUUUUGGGGGACUCCAAUUUAAGAAAAUGGGGAGAGAUGGCCCCCGUGUAUAAGACACCCCCAAAUUUUGGACAUUAUUUUUUAGGGGAAAAACCUAGCCUUAUACAGUGGUACCUCGGGAUGCGAACGGGAUCCGUUCCGGAGCCCCAUUCACAUCCUGAGCAGAACGUAAGACAGGACUGCGUGUCUGCGCAUGCGCAGGUCGCGUUUCACUGCUUCUGUGCAUGCGCGUGACAUCAUUUUGACCAUCUGCGCAUGCGCGAGCGGUGAAACCCGGAAGUAACGCGCUCCAGGGUGGCCCUGCCCUUUACCUACCCCUCAGAGCUAGCACAUCACACAGGGCUGGGAUUUGGCAGCUACAACCUCUCCCCCUACUCUCCCACUCUCCAGAAGCUGCUACGAGCUGCCCAAGGGAGAAGGCUAGCAGUGGUGACCAUGGAGACACUGGACAAACACAGUGCACAUGCUCUAUCAGUUGCUUACAGUGGACAGCUACUGCCUUCUCGUUCUCUUUGUGGGCUUCCACCUGGCCACUGGGGGAGACAGUAUACUAGACAGCAAUGUCCUUUGGGGUGGGGGUGGAGAGGCACUGGAUUCCUGCUGGCCAUGGCACCACACUCCUCAGGAUGUGUAUGGGUCAGGGCAGCCUGAGAGUGAAGUUAGGGGUACUUCUGGUGGUACUGGUUUGCCCUGCAGGUACACACACUCCUUGGGGUCACCUCAUAACCCCCUUGUCUUCAUGUCACCCCAUCCCAAAGAGCACAAUGCUGCUAUCAAAUGCUUGCCAUUUCCUACACACCCUGCACAAACCACCACUGAUGCUUGGCUAGACAUACUCUUGGUAUGAACCUAUAUUCUUAAACAGAAAGCCAAACAAACAAACAAACCAUUGCUUAAUAGUUGUGUGUCCGUAAGCAUGUGGUUUUUUCGCUCUGCUCCUUGUCUAUGUUUCUUUUCUGAAGUUACAAGAAGUCUGUUAAGAAGUCCGGUUGGCUUUGCCAAUUCACAUGUGGAUUCUUGCUGCAUAAACGUUGCUUCUCAACCGUGUUGAUCCCGUUUUCUUUGUUUCGCCUUUAUUUGAUGGCGCUUACAUGUGGCAGUGCCAUCGCCAAUUUCCCACCAGUUCUAUGUAGGUCACAGCGGGGCGAGCUCUAACCGCUCUUCAUGAGACCACACAAUUCUGCACCGUGUUAGAAUUCCAUUCUUCCCUCUUAUUUGAUAUGUGUUAAUUUGGGAACCUAAUGAUGCUUUGAUUAUAACCAUUUGAGCUCAUAAUCAUAGAUUGUGGACCUGCAAAAGGAAGCGACGGUGGUAAUUUAAAUGUAAUUUUUGAUUCAUGUUGAGCGUGCAAACUUUCCUUAAUGCUGCCUGAAAUGCUAAGCAGACUCCAGCUAAUUAAAGACAAUGCACACACAAGGAUGCAUUUGUCUUAUUUUCAGUCUUGGUGCUGAAAACAGCGGAGGACUUCUGCAUCAUAGCAGGAGAUACAAUUGCUAUGGUGUGUCUAACUCUUUUGUUUUUUUUUAAAAAGCCAACUGAGCUGCUGACCACUAUCCCAUUCCAUGGCAACGAAUUCCAAAAGUUAAUUAUGCAUUGUGUGAAACAGAUAAGAACAUCUGAUAGCUAUCAGUAGCUAUUUAUGCUAGGAGCCAAAAGGUAUGUAGGGCUCCAGUUGCCUACAUCCCACCUGCUAGAAAGCUUUCCCAGUUCCUUCUGUAGCUUCUGAGUCACAAGGCAUUGCCCACCUACAUUCAGUAAUUCUAUUUAUUUUCACAGCCAGGAGACUAUAAACUUAGGGGGGCUGGGUUUUCUUUUUUUAAGACAGUUCAGAUUCUCAGAAUGCUGUAUUCUGUACCCAAAAGCUGUGUCCAUAUUGGUAUGAGAAAUCAUCAGUUCUGGUUUGAACUGAUCUUCAGUUGUUGUUUUUAAAUGCAGAUUCCUCAGUUGCACAAAAUCCCCAUCAGAUACUCCCCACAUCAUCAUCAUCAUCAUCAUCAUCAUCAUACCCCACCCAUCUGGCUGAAGUAUAAAUGAACAAGCUCAAAGUGUCCUUUGCUCAUUGCUUACACCAUUAUAUGAGUGGCACUUUCUCCAUUGGAGCCAGUUUUUCAUAUCUACUCUACAGCGAUGAGUCAUUUAUGAACCUGCCUGAGUUCAAUAAUCUACAGGCACAAAAAGAUUAGGAGUAUUUUAUGGGGGAUUCACAAGGAUGCAAUGAAGUCUUACCUGUUUUACCACCCCAAAAGAAGGAGGUGUUUUAGUAUGGUUUGAGCAGAUUGAUUUAAGGAUGGAAAUGGAGCCCAUUCUGCUCCAUUCCUGAAUGACUCUGCUUGACAUUAUUAGCUUUCCAACUGCACAAUUCCCCUCCCCCAAACUCUUUAUUUUGUGUCCUACUGCACACUAAAAGCAACAAUGCUUUUUCCUCAGGACACAUCCACACAACUGUUUGCAGUUGACUGGAACUCCAAAACAGAUCAUCGGUGACUCACAAACACACAUUUGAGAAGAAGGCCACUCUGUCGAUGGCCAAAAGUGGCUUGGUGGCUCUCAACCACUGCAACAGGAAGCAGCGACUUAAUGAUGGAA
rnacentral:lncRNA from 1 species